rnacentral:rRNA from 1 species
UGGGGAAUAUUGCACAAUGGGCGAAAGCCUGAUGCAGCGACGCCGCGUGAGGGAUGACGGCCUUCGGGUUGUAAACCUCUUUCAGCAGGGACGAAGCGCAAGUGACGGUACCUGCAGAAGAAGCACCGGCUAACUACGUGCCAGCAGCCGCGGUAAUACGUAGGGUGCAAGCGUUGUCCGGAAUUACUGGGCGUAAAGAGUUCGUAGGCGGUUUGUCGCGUCGUUUGUGAAAACCAGCAGCUCAACUGCUGGCUUGCAGGCGAUACGGGCAGACUUGAGUACUGCAGGGGAGACUGGAAUUCCUGGUGUAGCGGUGAAAUGCGCAGAUAUCAGGAGGAACACCGGUGGCGAAGGCGGGUCUCUGGGCAGUAACUGACGCUGAGGAACGAAAGCGUGGGUAGCGAACAGGAUUAGAUACCCUGGUAGUCCACGCCGUAAACGGUGGGCGCUAGGUGUGGGUUCCUUCCACGGAAUCCGUGCCGUAGCUAACGCAUUAAGCGCCCCGCCUGGGGAGUACGGCCGCAAGGCU